rnacentral:misc_RNA from 1 species
UCCGGUUUGUCACCGGCGGUCUCCUUAGAGUUCCCAACUUAAUGAUGGCAACUAAGGACAAGGGUUGCGCUCGUUGCGGGACUUAACCCAACAUCUCACGACACGAGCUGACGACAGCCAUGCAGCACCUGUGUCCUGGUUCCCGAAGGCACCCCCGCAUCUCUGCAGGGUUCCAGGCAUGUCAAGGCCAGGUAAGGUUCUUCGCGUUGCAUCGAAUUAAACCACAUGCUCCACCGCUUGUGCGGGUCCCCGUCAAUUCCGUUGAGUUUCAACCUUGCGGCCGUACUCCCCAGGCGGAGGACUUAACGCGUUAGCUGCGACACUGGAAGGCUUACCCUCCCAACGUCUAGUCCUCAUCGUUUAUGGCGUGGACUAC